GGAGGAGCUCAGCACCUUGACUGCAUCCUGUGAGGCUGAAAGAGGAGGAGGCAUUUGAGCAGAGCUCUGCAGUUCCUUCCACCUCCUUUGGGGUGUUCCCACCCCCUCUGCUUCCUUUCUCGUUCUGUCCCUGCAGCUGAGGGACCAGAGCGGUAGCAUCAGUUUUGACUGGUGGAAAGGAGGUGGCAGGGCCAUGAUCCCAGAGGACAUUCAGAGACUCCUGGAAGAUGCUGAGUGCUUCCUGGUGGAUGGGCUGCAGAAUGAAAACUUGAGCCCUAAAGCAAGGGAGCAGAGGAACACAAUUCUCUUUGGCUUCCAGCAAGCCAAAGCCAGGUACCACUUGGAGUUUCUGCCCCGAGGUGAGUACAAGCUGGUGGGAAGGAGGGGGGAUUCUCACUGUUAGGGGGUUGUAGAGCAGGGGAGGGCUGGUUGUGUGCUG